AGCGAACGCUGGCGGCAGGCCUAAUACAUGCAAGUCGAGCGGGUGUAGCAAUACACCAGCGGCAGACGGGAGAGUAACACGUGGGAACGUGCCCUCCAGUUCGGAACAACCCAGGGAAACUUGGGCUAAUACCGGAUACGUCCGUAAGGAGAAAGAUUUAUCGCUGAAGGAUCGGCCCUCGUCUGAUUAGCUUGUUGGUGAGGUAAUGGCUCACCAAGGCGACGAUCAGUAGCUGGUCUGAGAGGAUGAUCAGCCUCACUGGGACUGAGACACAGCCCAGACUCCUACGGGAGGCAGCAGUAGGGAAUAUUGGACAAUGGGCGCAAGCCUGAUCCAGCCAUGCCGCGUGGGUGAUGAAGGCCCUAGGGUUGUAAAGCCCUUUCGGCGGGGAAGAUAAUGACGGUACCCGCAGAAGAAGCCCCGGCUAACUUCGUGC
rnacentral:rRNA from 1 species